GGUGAGUAACGCGUGGGUGACCUGCCCCAAAGUGUGGGAUAACAGUCCGAAAGGAUUGCUAAUACCUCAUGUGGUCUUCGGAUUUAGAAACUGAUGACUAAAGGAGUGAUCCGCUUUGGGAGGGACCUGCGUCCCAUCAGCUAGUUGGUGAGGUAAUGGCUCACCAAGGCGACGACGGGUAGGGGACCUGAGAGGGUGGCCCCCCACAAUGGAACUGAAACACGGUCCAUACACCUACGGGUGGCAGCAGUAGGGAAUAUUGCACAAUGGGCGAAAGCCUGAUGCAGCAACGCCGCGUGCGCGAUGAAGGCCUUCGGGUCGUAAAGCGCUUUUCUGAGAGACGAGACAGGACGGUAUCUCAGGAAUAAGUCUCGGCUAACUACGUGCCAGCAGCCGCGGUAAAA
rnacentral:rRNA from 1 species